UGCCUACGGGACGCAGCAGUGGGGGAUAUUGCACAAUGGGGGAAACCCUGAUGCAGCGACGCCGCGUGAGUGAAGAAGUAUUUCGGUACGUAAAGCUCUAUCAGCAGGGAAGAAAAAUGACGGUACCUGACUAAGAAGCCCCGGCUAACUACGCGCCAGCAGCCGCGGUAAUACGUAGGGGGCAAGCGUUAUCCGGAUUUAUUGGGUGUAAAGGGAGCGUAGACGGCUGUGCAAGCCAGAUGUGAAAGCCCGGGGCUCAACCCCGGGACUGCAUUUGGAACUGUGUGGCUGGAGUGUCGGAGAGG
rnacentral:rRNA from 1 species